UUUUUCUUUUUGUCUUUUUCCUGGCUGC
rnacentral:piRNA from 1 species